GUAACGAAAAGGUUCUAUCGUUAUGUUAUUAAAUGUUGGUUAGUAGUACAGUACCUAUUAAAAGGUUUUAUCAAUAAUACGUCAUGUCAAUGCCCGCCUAAUACUUAAUAUUCAUUAUUCACGAUGUAUCUGAUAAUAAUUGUAUUCAUUUAUUUAUUAAAAUUAUGGUUAUAUUAAUAAGAUAACCUGAAAAAAGAUAUUGGGUAUUAAAGUCAAGAACUAGAGUUAGAUGAUUUCUAAGAUUUCAUGAGUUAAAAACUGCUCUGCUGAACAAUUGGAUAUUGUGACAUAGAACCUUUUCAUUCUCAACCCGUUACAGAACGAGUGUACAUUUUAUAUUUUCACUUAUGAGUUAUGAGUUAUAACAAAGACAAUUAUGUUUCAUUUAUUUUUAGUUUAAUGUCCUGCUAAUCAAGAGAUUUAUUUUCCAUAACUUGUAAUUUUUAAUACAAUUCAAUACAAAUUUUUACAAUAAAAGUGUCUUGUAUCUUUUAUUCUUUUGGCAAAAUAAGAUUCAUGAUAUUAAUAUAAAAUGUAUCACAAGAUGCAAUUGUAUUUCUGAUACUGCCCAACCCCUAUGGUAACUUAUUUAAUAGUUCACUAAAUAUGUAAUAAUGAGACUCAGGAGAAGAAUUAAAUAACCUCCAUAACUCAUAAGGAACCCGAGUGGACAUCUGUAAUAAGGUCGACGGGUAUAUGGAGCCAUUAUGGAGUAGCUUGUAAAGCAAGGCUCACAGAGACCUUGAUGUAAGCACGGUAACACAAUUACAGUUGGCGGCGAAAAUAUACAUAUAUAGCAUUGGCGCUCAACUAUUGGGGAGGAACAGGUUGUCGUAUCCGCGGAGGCAAUAACCUUGCAAUAAUGUCUUCCCGAGAUGGAUGAGGCGGUAACUCAAAUAAAAUUGGAGAUGGAGCACGUGGUACAUUCACAGGUUCUAUGUGAAGUGGUCGAGGU